rnacentral:rRNA from 1 species
GAUGAAUGCUGGCGGCGUGCCUAAUACAUGCAAGUCGAGCGAAUGGAUUAAGAGCUUGCUCUUAUGAAGUUAGCGGCGGACGGGUGAGUAACACGUGGGUAACCUGCCCAUAAGACUGGGAUAACUCCGGGAAACCGGGGCUAAUACCGGAUAACAUUUUGAACCGCAUGGUUCGAAAUUGAAAGGCGGCUUCGGCUGUCACUGAUGGAUGGACCCGCGUCGCAUUAGCUAGUUGGUGAGGUAACGGCUCACCAAGGCAACGAUGCGUAGCCGACCUGAGAGGGUGAUCGGCCACACUGGGACUGCGACACGCCCCAGACUCCUCCGGGAGGCAGCAGUAGGGAAUCUUCCGCAAUGGACGAAGGUCUGACGGAGCAACGCCGCGUGAGUGAUGAAGGCUUUCGGGUCGUAAAACUCUGUUGUUAGGGAAGAACAAGCGCUAGUUGAAUAAGCUGGCACCUUGACGGUACCUAACCAGAAAGCCACGGCUAACUACGUGCCAGCCGCCGCCGUAA